rnacentral:misc_RNA from 1 species
AAGUCGUAACAAGGUCUCCGUAGGUGAACCUGCGGAGGGAUCAUUAACACGUUUCUUAACGUUUCCCUACCAACCCGUGAACACUGUAAAUGUUAUAACCCGACCUAUGAGAAGGGGCGAUAUGCCUGUUUGAAUGCGCUUAGUGAUGGGCGUUUGGAGGUUCACACUUCCAAAUGCGAGUGCAUUCGAGCUGUAGAAAGUGCUGCAACUUUCAAGGCUUCUCCUUCUUUUGGGCUAAUUCUCACCAUGACUCUCUCCUUCAUUCACUGGGAGUUUUAUGGUAAUUUCAAACCACUUUCACCCCUUUAUAACUACUUGACUGAUCUAAUGUUUUGAUUUGGAAACGAAUCGAAACGUGAUUUUAACAAUCAACAUAUCUAAGCACAACUCUUAGCAACGGAUAUCUUGGUUCUC